UACAGAGGGUGCAAGCGUUGUUCGGAAUUAUUGGGCGUAAAGAGCUCGUAGGCGGUUUGUCGCGUCUGCUGUGAAAACGCGAGGCUCAACCUCGCGCCUGCAGUGGGUACGGGCAGACUAGAGUGCGGUAGGGGAGAUUGGAAUUCCUGGUGUAGCGGUGGAAUGCGCAGAUAUCAGGAGGAACACCCGUGGCGAAGGCGGCUCUCUGGGACGGUACUGACGCUGAGACGCGAAAGCGUGGGGAGCGAACAGG
rnacentral:rRNA from 1 species